AACAACAGCAGUCUAGAGAUGCAAAUAAAGCUUGCAGCUUCAAGCACACAACGACUCCAAUGGACCCUGAGCAAGACACCUCUUCUACAAACAAUUCUUGGAUAAACCUGGUUGUUUUCACCAUACAAGCGGUCACGGGCACACUACAGUAUGCGAUCAAGAAAACUGUAAACUGGCCUACAAGCUGUGGAGAUCCCUGAUGAAGGACAAGGUGACCGAGACGUUGUUUCACUAAUAAAUUCCUUUCUAAGUGAGACAAGGGGCUUCACUCACAAAACAUGCGUACGAUCACAU